rnacentral:rRNA from 1 species
GUUCGUAGGUGACUGCGGAGGUCAUUA